AGCUGCGUGGCGCAGUGGAAGCGCGCCGGGCUCAUAUCUUCCACAAGACGUAGAGACCCGGAGGGCCCUCGAUCGAAACGAGGCGUAGCUA